AUUUAUUUUUUAAAUGUUUAUAUUAUUUGAAUAAAACAUUCAAAUAAUAUAAAAAAUAAUAUAUAUAUUGACAUGGAUUAAACAAAGAUAUAUAUUAUUCUAUGUUGUAUAAACAAAUUGGCAAAAUAGAGAUGGAAGAUAAAAAUAUGGUCAAAGUAAUAAGAGUCUAUGGUGAAUGCCUAGGAGCUUUAAGGCGAAGAAGGUCGUGGUAAGCUGCGAAAAGCUUGGGGGAAAAGCAAACAUUUAUUGAUCCCAAGAUUACCGAAUGGAGUAAUCCAGCUAGCAAGAUGCUAGCUAUCUAUUAUCUAAAUAA
rnacentral:misc_RNA from 1 species